GCGAGCGUUAAUCGGAAUUACUGGGCGUAAAGCGUGCGCAGGCGGUUUGCUAAGACCGAUGUGAAAUCCCCGGGCUCAACCUGGGAACUGCAUUGGUGACUGGCAGGCUAGAGUAUGGCAGAGGGGGGUAGAAUUCCACGUGUAGCAGUGAAAUGCGUAGAGAUGUGGAGGAAUACCGAUGGCGAAGGCAGCCCCCUGGGCCAAUACUGACGCUCAUGCACGAAAGCGUGGGGAGCAAACAGGAUUAGAUACCCUGGUAGUCCACGCCCUAAACGAUGUCAACUAGUUGUUGG
rnacentral:rRNA from 1 species